rnacentral:pre_miRNA from 1 species
UCACCUCCGCAGGCUGCCGGCCCCCAGGCUGGGCUGAGCGAGGAUGAGGAUCCCUUCGAAAGGCUCACCCUCAAGCACAGCCAGGAGC